CCUGUGGGUGAAGGACAGGAAGCUUUGGACUGGGAAGCAGAGCUCCCGGCCAGGGAAAGGGGGGGCUCUGCUCCUGAGCUGGGACCUGCCAUGUUCAGCCAGACCACCCGGAACUCACGCGGCACGUCCUCGGACACGGACACGUUGUACACGGCUGGGAAGAAGGUGGGCAUCUCGUCGUUCACAUCCAGCACUGCAGGGGAGAAUGGGCGCCGGGGCUAGGCCUGCCUUCUGCUGCAGACGACCCAGCUCCAGAGCAGUGGCUCCAGCUCCAGCUCCAGACCAAGUAGGGAACGAAUUCCCAAGGGAGUCAUGGGCUCCAAGUGGCAUCUGUGUUAACACCUCCUGGCCAUGAGCCCAGGACCCCCCAUCCCUGCUGGGGCCAGGACCAAGCCCAUCAGUGCUCCAGACCCUCCUGCUGUCCCUGUGCCCCUGUGCCCUGGGGGCUUACUGCUGCUCAGCUGUCAAAGAUGAGAGAGAAAACCUUAGAACCUCUCUCCCAGAUGCACCUAACAACGACCAUGGCAACAUGGACAGUCAUGACAACGAUGACGACGGUGACCAUUUACGAGCUUGUCCAGCGUGCCACGCCUGUGCUAAGUGCUUCCCGGACAGGACCACAUGUGGCCCUCAGAGCAUCGUAGAAGGCGCGUAUUAUCAGACACGCUGUGUAGCUGAGGAAGCAAAAGCUCAGAGCAGCUGAGUGACUUGUCCAAAGUCACACAGCGGCAGAGUGGAGGGGCUGGAGCCUCAAGGUCUACCCUCAGUAUGCAAUGGAGCUUCAGCAAAGGGUGCUCACUUUGAUAAUCCCAUCCCCCGAAAUAAGGUUUGAUUUCCCUUAGAGAUUUGUUUA